GCUUUGGAUCCAGUGAUACAGAUGCUCCUUCUACAAAUAGUACAACCAUCAUUUGAAAAUAUCACUUUUGAAGAUCUCAAGUUUAAAUAUAUUAAGAACAAAAAAGAAAAGGAAUGGAGACACAAAAAGGAAGUGAUAUUGCAAGAAACACUGUUCUAUAAUGGAAUUAGACCAGGGCUGGGCAAAUGGCUCCAUACUCAUUUUGAAAGAUGAGCACCGAAAAAGCAUCAAGGAUGUCUAUGUGUUGAUUCUGCUUGAUGUCUAUAACUUAACAUGCAGAUUCCAUAAAUCUAAAGACUUUGAUUUUUAUUUGUCUCUCUGCCUCCCUGCCCUUAAAUAUUUUGAGAUUUCUCCUUCUCCCAUUCAUAUCUUUCAUCACUCAGUAUGCUAUCAUUCCAUUUCUUUCAAUAUUUAUUCCUCUAAUUUCUGUUGAUUGUGCAUAUUAUAUUUUUAUUAAAAGUUUAAAAAGAGAAUAAGAUAUGUAAACACCAUACAUUUAAAAUAUUUUAGCCUUUGUGACCAUUUUGAUGGGAUAUUUGUGAGACUUCUGAGUCACAGAUAAAAUCCCUCUAUAUGGUAAUUAGGCUUAGAAUACAAUAGCAAAAACAAAUAUGUAAUAGAAAAUAUUUAAAUAUUAUGCAGUAAUGUAAAGUGUAUUAAAUUAAAGUAAAGCAUAUUCCUUAAUUUAAAAGUUAAUGUAUGUAAAAACAAAGAUAAAUACAAAAUAUGGACUUGAAAGAUACAUAUGUAUGUCAUCAUCAAUAUCUCAUUUUUAUUUUUUUUUUCUAUCUUUGUUUUGUCUUAAUUUGUAUCAGUCUCAGAUCUCCCUUCUCCCAAUUUUAUAAAGAUUACAUGACAGAUUAUUUGACAUUUUUUGUCUGUGUAUUUUACUUUAUG